rnacentral:rRNA from 1 species
GACGAACGCUGGCGGCGUGCUUAACACAUGCAAGUCGAACGGAAAGGCCCUGCUUUUGUGGGGUGCUCGAGUGGCGAACGGGUGAGUAACACGUGAGUAACCUGCCCUUGACUUUGGGAUAACUUCAGGAAACUGGGGCUAAUACCGGAUAGGAGCUCCUGCUGCAUGGUGGGGGUUGGAAAGUUUCGGCGGUUGGGGAUGGACUCGCGGCUUAUCAGCUUGUUGGUGGGGUAGUGGCUUACCAAGGUUUUGAAGGGUAGCCGGCCUGAGAGGGUGACCGGCCACAUUGGGACUGAGAGACGGAGCAGACUCCUACGGGAGGCAGCAGUGGGGAGUAUUGCACAGUGGGCGGAAGCCUGAUGCAGCAACGCCGCGUGCGGGAUGACGGCCCUCGGGUUGUAAACCGCUUUCGCCUGUGACGAAGCGUGAGUGACGGUAAUGGGUAAAGAAGCACCGGCUAACUACGUG